rnacentral:other from 1 species
GAAGUCCUGCGAUGUACGAGUAGUGGUAAUGUCACAACCCCAAAUACUAAACGGGAGAGCGAAACAUGCAGCUGGAUGUCAGGCCUCAAUACAAUAUCGGAGGAAGACAGAAAUUGCAGAUAGCCCACCCCCCUGCGAAUGCGGGUUUAGUACAACCACGAGACGGCAUGGUGGGAUUUUU